ACUUGCUUUCUUUGCUGGCGACCGGCGCACGGGUGAGUAACACGUAUCCAACCUGCCCUUUACUCGGGGAUAGCCUUUCGAAAGAAAGAUUAAUACCCGAUAGUAUAAUGAUUCCGCAUGGUUUCAUUAUUAAAGGAUUCCGGUAAAGGAUGGGGAUGCGUUCCAUUAGGUUGUUGGUGAGGUAACGGCUCACCAAGCCUUCGAUGGAUAGGGGUUCUGAGAGGAAGGUCCCCCACAUUGGAACUGAGACACGGUCCAAACUCCUCCGGGAAGCAGCAUG
rnacentral:rRNA from 1 species